rnacentral:rRNA from 1 species
AUGCUGCUCGCUGUUCGCCACAGCGUCGCGCUCCCCAGCACACACACAACCGUCAAGAUCUUCGACGUGGAUCUCGACCGCCGGCAGUUGACCCCGGUGAGCAACAUUGGCGAUCGCGCGCUGUUCCUCGGUAAGGACAGAUGCCUGUCCGUCUCGGCCAAACACCUGUUGUCCAUCAGAGAAAACUCAGUUUACAAAUCUGAAGGUUGCGCCUCCCACCACAUCUAG